rnacentral:rRNA from 1 species
CGGAUUGCAGCCUGCAACUCGGCUGCAUGAAGCUGGAAUCGCUAGUAAUCGCAGAUCAGAAUGCUGCGGUGAAUACGUUCCCGGGUCUUGUACACACCGCCCGUCACACCAUGGGAGUUGGAAAUGCCCGAAGUCAGUGACCGAACCGAAAGGAAGGAGCUGCCGAAGGUGGAGCCGAUGACUGGGGUGAAGUCGUAACAAGGUACC